GCAUAGUGGCGCACGGGUGCGUAACGCGUGGCCAUCUGCCCUUUGGUUCGGAAUAACAGUUGGAAACGNNNNNNAAUACCGGAUGAUGACGUAAGUCCAAAGAUUUAUCGCCAGAGGAUGAGCCCGCGUGAGAUUAGGUAGUUGGUGGGGUAAAGGCCUACCAAGCCGACGAUCUCUAGCUGGUCUGAGAGGAUGAUCAGCCACACUGGGACUGAGACACGGCCCAGACUCCUACGGGAGGCAGCAGUGGGGAAUAUUGGACAAUGGGCGAAAGCCUGAUCCAGCAAUGCCGCGUGAGUGAUGAAGGCCUUAGGGUUGUAAAGCUCUUUUACCCGGGAUGAUAAUGACAGUACCGGGAGAAUAAGCCCCGGCUAACUCCGUGCCAGCAGCCGCGGUAAUACGGAGGGGGCUAGCGUUGUUCGGAAUUACUGGGCGUANNNNNCACGUAGGCGGCUUUGUAAGUUAGAGGUGAAAGCCUGGAGCUCAACUCCAGAAUUGCCUUUAAGACUGCAUCGCUUGAAUCCAGGAGAGGUGAGUGGAAUUCCGAGUGUAGAGGUGAAAUU
rnacentral:rRNA from 1 species